GGGAAGGAUGAGCAGCCUCCGGAGGACACAGCCGCUGGAUUGAGACACGGCCGCGAACUCCCGGUUCGCAGCUGCCCAGCCGACAUGGGCUGAUGCUCGGGUUGUGUAUUCAUCAGCAUCCGGCCAAAGCAAAACAACUCGCGUCCGGGGGACCCGCACAGCUCCCCCUCCGCUCCCGCGUCCCGCUUCCGGCCCGGCGGGUUUGCGUAUGGACGUGUCUCCGUGAGGAGUCUGACCGUGUGAACGCAUGAACGGAUCCGGAGCACCGGCCCUUCGUCGCCCCACAGGGCAACAACUCUGUGCCGGGUUCAGGGUGGACGCCGGUCUGUCCUCCCUCCUCAUUCCUUCCCAUUGGCUCGCUUAUCACCAGUCAUGCAGGGACACGCGUGUGCGUGAGGACGUGUGUGCGUUCAGAGGAGCCGGGUCGUCUGUAGUUGAUUCUGCCCCGGUGCUGCCCGGCCCGGCUCCCCUCCCACCCGCUGCUGCUGCUGCUGCUGCUUUGGACUCUCCCUUUUUCAAUGGACUUCACAG
ensembl:lncRNA